GCAUUGCUGAUGUGGUUAGAAUGGCUGCCUUCCAAGCAGUUGGUUUGGGUUCAGUUCCCAGCUGGUGCA
rnacentral:tRNA from 1 species